rnacentral:rRNA from 1 species
CCUACGGGAGGCUGCAGUGGGGAAUAUUGGACAAUGGGGGCAACCCUGAUCCAGCCAUGCCGCGUGUGUGAAGAAGGCCCUCGGGUUGUAAAGCACUUUCAGUGAGGAAGAACGCCUGGUGGUUAAUACCCAUCAGGAAAGACAUCACUCACAGAAGAAGCACCGGCUAACUCCGUGCCAGCAGCCGCGGUAAUACGGAGGGUGCGAGCGUUAAUCGGAAUUACUGGGCGUAAAGCGCGCGUAGGUGGCUUGAUAAGCCGGUUGUGAAAGCCACGGGCUCAACCUGGGAACGGCAUCCGGAACUGUCAAGCUAGAGUGCAGGAGAGGAAGGUAGAAUUCACGGUGUAGCGGUGAAAUGCGUAGAGAUCGGGAGGAAUACCAGUGGCGAAGGCGGCCUUCUGGACUGACACUGACACUGAGGUGCGAAAGCGUGGGUAGCAAACAGGAUUAGAUACCCCGGUAGUC